rnacentral:rRNA from 1 species
UACGUAGGGGGCAAGCGUUGUCCGGAAUCAUUGGGCGUAAAGAGCGUGUAGGCGGUCCGGUAAGUCAGCUGUGAAAGUCAAGGGCUCAACCCUUGAAUGCCGGUUGAUACUGUCGGGCUAGAGUCCGGAAGAGGCGAGUGGAAUUCCUGGUGUAGCGGUGAAAUGCGCAGAUAUCAGGAGGAACACCGGUGGCGAAGGCGGGUCUCUGGGCCGAUACUGACGCUGAGGAGCGAAAGCGUGGGGAGCGAACAGG